rnacentral:rRNA from 1 species
UACGUAGGCAGCGAGCGUUGUUCGGAAUUACUGGGCGUAAAGCGAGUGUAGGCGGUCUGCUAAGUCGGGUGUGAAAGCCCCGGGCUCAACCCGGGAAGUGCACUCGAAACUGGCAGGCUAGAGUACUGGAGAGGUUGGUGGAAUUCUCGGUGUAGAGGUGAAAUUCGUAGAUAUCGAGAGGAACACCGGUGGCGAAGGCGGCCAACUGGACAGAUACUGACGCUGAGACUCGAAAGCGUGGGGAGCAAACAGG